AGCAGUCGCCGCGGUAAUACAGAGGGUGCGAGCGUUAAUCGGAUUUACUGGGCGUAAAGCGUUCGUAGGCGGCUUUUUAAGUCGGAUGUGAAAUCCCUGAGCUUAACUUAGGAAUUGCAUUCGAUACUGGGAAGCUAGAGUAUGGGAGAGGAUGGUAGAAUUCCAGGUGUAGCGGUGAAAUGCGUAGAGAUCUGGAGGAAUACCGAUGGCGAAGGCAGCCAUCUGGCCUAAUACUGACGCUGAGGUACGAAAGCAUGGGGAGCAAACAGGAUUAGAUACCCCUGUAGUCCCUGUCUCUUAUAC
rnacentral:rRNA from 1 species